rnacentral:rRNA from 1 species
GAUGAACGCUGGCGGCGUGCUUAACACAUGCAAGUCGAACGGUGAAGGCGGAGCUUGCUCUGCUGGAUCAGUGGCGAACGGGUGAGUAACACGUGAGCAAUCUGCCCCUGACUCUGGGAUAAGCGCUGGAAACGGCGUCUAAUACUGGAUACGAGCUGCGAAGGCAUCUUCAGCAGCUGGGAAGAAUUUCGGUCAGGGAUGAGCUCGCGGCCUAUCAGCUUGUUGGUGAGGUAACGGCUCACCAAGGCGUCGACGGGUAGCCGGCCUGGGAGGGUGACCGGCCACACGGGGACAGGGGAAGGGCCAGGAGUCCAUCGGGAGGCAGGAGCGGGGAAUAGUGCACAAUGGGCGAAAGCCUGAUGGAGGAACGCCGGGUGAGGGACGACGGCCUUCGGGUAGUAAACCUCUUUUAGCAGGGAAGAAGCGAAAGUGACGGAACCUGCAGAAAAAGCGCCGGCUAACUACGU